rnacentral:rRNA from 1 species
GACGAACCGUGCAAACGUUAUUCGGAAUCACUGGGCUUAAAGCGCGUGUAGGCGGUCCGGCACGUCUGGUGUUGAAAUCCCCCGGCUCAACCGGGGAACAGGCACGGAUACGACCGGGCUGGAGGGAGGUAGGGGAUCCGGGAACUUCCGGUGGAGCGGUGAAAUGCGUUGAGAUCGGAAGGAACGCCCGUGGCGAAAGCGCGGAUCUGGACCUCACCUGACGCUGAGACGCGAAAGCUAGGGGAGCAAACGGG